UUCUGUGCAUAUUAUAUCAAUUAUCCAGUUAAUUGCAUCUGGUUGUGCUUCAUCUGCCAAGAGCUUCAUAAUUCUGACUCUGCGUCGCUAACCUUUCUGGUUUCUGGUUCAGAAUACACACUAGUAUUAGGCUUUCUGGUGGUUGAAGCUGGUAUUUGGGUUUCAAUCCCACGCGUGAAAGCAUAGGCAAAGCACCAUAGGUAUCUUCAGAAGCUUGCCAUAUGGCAACCACCUAUUGUUUAGGAUGUUAUGCAAACUUAAACUUUUGUAACUUGCAAGGCUUCUCUACUGCCUCCAGGCAAAAGUGAUAGUUUGUUGGUAUGGAUGUUACCCUGUCCUAAUCUGUAUCCCUUUAGCAAAUAACUGGACGUGAGAUAUUCUCUAGAAAAGGUGUAACCGAAAGUGAUAUGGAGAAUGAUGAGGGACCAUUCACCAUGUUACCCCAAGGAUAAAAUUGAUUCCUUUCUUCCUCCUGUGGAAAGGUUUGUUUAUAUUGCACUACUGUACACUUGCACUUUUCAUUGAAGUAGGAAGAUCAUGUAGGUCCUGGAUAAGGACCACUCCCAACCUAUUAAACUGGAUCUGGAUUCAUUACCAUGGCUACUGCAUACAGCUAUCGCUGCAGUUCUACUGCAUUGGUACUGUGUGUAUGGGGAAGAGAUGGAAAGGAAAAGUAGCUUGCAGCCUGUUUGAUCUGUAAAACUGGAAUUGUUUCAGCAAAAAGGUUACGUUGGAAAUUUAUAUUUUGUCUUGGAAUUGAAUAGGAAUCCGCCACCUGGGUUUAGCAUACAUCUCUCCUUUACAUUGGAAAUUUGGAGGGUGUGUAGUAAAAGUUGAGGGAAGAAAGUAGGGUGCAGCCUGGCCCAAGCAAUCGAGAAAUGGAUUGCUGCGCAGGAUAAUAAAGUUUUCAACAUUAUAUGCUCAAUACAGCUGGCCCUAUUCCACAUGUUCCUACCAAGCCUUUUAAAAGACUUUGGUGUAGGUCUGGAGACCAUUUGUUGCAUACGGUGCAAUCAUCAUGGGCACUUCCGUUCCAUGGAUGCUUCGUCUCUUUGGUUUUGACUUGUGCCACCAUUCAGAAAUGCUUGUUUCAAUCUGGAGAUUUGGUGAUUGCACUUACUGUGUGGCCUUUGUUUCUUUGAUCUGGUUACUGAUAACAUUGGUUGGUAUGAUCAGGUAAAAUUACCCAUCAAGUAGGCUAAGAACCAUCUAAGAAACCUUUGACCCUUAGCUUGCAGUAUGAU